rnacentral:lncRNA from 1 species
UUUGCCACACAUAUAUAUGUUUUCAAAAACUUGUUUUGGAAACAAGCAAGGUGCUGGCAGGAGGGGUGGGGGGUGAGGCAUCAUAUUCAUUUUAUGUUUAUUUGAUUGCCGAUGGGGAACAUUGUGAACUGAAUCUGAAUUGUGUACCUUAGGAGGAGAGAAUCCUUUAUUGUAUUGCUUAUUUCGCAAUUGAAGUUCAGAUAAAUCCUUGUGAGAAGAAAAUUCUUUAUGGUAUUACUUAUUUCACAAUUGACGUUAGUUUAGAAUAGUUAUAUAAGUUAUUGAAGUAAAUGUGAAUACACCUGAGGAGAUGGUGGGAAAUGUUCCACCAUAUGUUACCACAAAUCGCUGAUACUCUUGCGAUUUACAAAUUGGAGUGCAUGUUCCGAAAUGGUGAAUUUAGCGAUCUAAUUCCGUUCUGAAAUAUUGAAUUUAGUGAUCCCCGAAGUCUUUCCUACUUAUUUCCUUAAUAUUUUCUGUCACAGUAGGAGAAAGUGUAAAAAAAAAAAUGGUCAUAACACACCAAAAAGUUUUAAUUCAAAAUAUAUUUUCACGUUUCUUAGAUCUUUAUUACGGAAGAAGUAUAGUCUAAUUGUAUAACCUAUAAAAGCCUACCUCUGUCGUACCAUGAUUUAUGGCAUAUACGUACCAUAUUUCGGGUCCUGAUCCUCGUACUGGAAAGUUCAACAUUCCAGGUAACAAAGGAAUGUCGUACCACGAUUUACGGCAUAUAGCGUAUUGCAUUAUGGUUCCCGUUCCUAAUACUCGUACUGAAAAGUUCAACAUUCCAGGUAAUAGAGGAACUUCCAUCAAUCCUCUUGUAAGGAUCUUCCACUCUUCACUUUUUGAAGUUAUCUCUUUUGAUUUUAGAUAGUUAAGUCAUGUUUAUCUCUUGUUUCGCA